ensembl:lncRNA
AUGACACACACGAUCUUUGCGUCAUUUGUUUGGGUAAAGAGCACGCACGCGAUGUCUUUGAGGAGGCAAUCUGCGUGCAUUGUGAGCGUUUUUUCAAUGAAAAAGCUCCGCUCUCAUUCGUCUCUCUUUCCGAGAAAAAAAAAGGAAAAAAGGCAGCCAUCUGCUUCCCGCGGUUCAGGACCUGCCGCUCCUGAGGCACAGAGGAGAAUGAGCUUGUGAGAAUUUCAGGUGGAUCUGUCUGAAUGAUUUAGAGAGGGACUUUCAGCGGCGGAUGAGAGAGAGCCUCAGGAGGAUGAUGUUAUAUCUUUAACACUUUCUGAUACUGAGGUUAGUGCUCUGCUGGGUUUUUACCCAGGAAAAGCAGGAGAUAUUUAAGGAUGGUGAAGAAGCUGAGGCUGAGCCUUCUCAAUUCUCCUGCCCUGCGUAUGUAGAGCUGAUGGAGGUUAUGGAUCACGCCACGGCAAGGUUGGACUUGCCAUGAAAGUACGCUAACAAGGUGAUGCCGUGAGGCCACCUCGAUGCCUGAACUCCAUACAGAGAUCGAAAAGAAAUGAAAGAGGCUGUUUUCUUCUCGUAUCCAUCGUAUCCAAGUAUUUUGCUGACAUCGAGGUGAUGUGCGAAAACGGCUAUGAGAGGAUGCCCCCUGUAGAAGGAGCUUUCUUUCUGUGGGGGAGACAUCCUCUCUUAAUCUCCCUCCUUGCCAUCUAAGCCCCUUCAAGAAAUACAUCUCGCUUAAAUGGCAAGGCAUACGCAGCAGGCCUGCACUCCCCUCAGCAUGGCGGCAUGGGUAUACUGUUCCCCAUAGUGACCCCUAGAGGACGCAGUUCGAAGUUCCCUUGAAAGGGAACGUCUCAGGUUAUGAAUGUAACCAUGGUUCCCUGAGUAAGGAACGAGACACUGUGUCCUCUAGCUCCCUGCCAUGCUUCGGACGCAAGCUUCAGACGAAGAAGUGAAUGAGGUGUUCUCCUGGUGGCUGUUUAUAGUUGCGCCGGUAGUGACGUCAGAGGCUGUCGCCGGCCAACUCAUUGGUGUUUUUUCAAUGUAUGCUUCAGAUACGGGUCACGACGAGGUGUUCCCCAUAGCGACCCCUAGAGGACUCAGGGAACCAUGGUUACAUUCGUAACCUGAGACGUUUUCACAAUGCACUCACAUCAUUAAAGAAAUCUGCAAACAAAUCUUAGAGAUUUUAUUAGUACAAACUUCUCUUUUGUGAGCCAUUUUUACAAUGUGCUUUAAAGGAACAGUUCACCCAAUAAAGAACAUUGUCAUCAUUUACUCACUUUUAUGUUGUUUCAUGUUGUUUCUUUCUUUUGUGCAAUACAAUAGAUGAUGAAGUAAAAGUAUGAUGAAAAUUUUCAAUUCUGGGUGAACUAUCAAUGUAGCUGUGCUCCUUUUUAAGUUUAUUUCACUGGUCAGUGUUCUUGGACUUCACUGUGGAUAUAGCAUCAUGUAAAAGCAAAAUAUUUAGUUCCAUACCUUGAUUUUUGGCUUUUGUGCACAGCGAUUUGACUACCAAGUUUGGAACUAUUAAAAGAAGGAAAUUACAUCAUUAUACAGCAUCAGAGUGGGCGGUCGAUGGGUUGGUCAGUCUGAUCCAGACACUGUAUAAAUGAAAGGACAGUAAGAAGAGCAGAACAAGCUCC